rnacentral:lncRNA from 1 species
CAGCCUACAGAUACCAAUCAAAAUUUCUACUAAUGUCUUACUUUUUGGCUCCGAUAGACUCACAGUAGAACAAAACAUACUGAUAUUUAAAGCUGUGCAAAACUUUAUUAUAAGUAGCAAUCGAUUCACAUCCACAAUCAAAUAAUUCUAAUUACUCACUCCUCCCCUAAAUAAAAAAUAUUGUUUCAUUCUUUAAUAACACUCAUUUUUCUAAAAACACCUUUCACC